AGAGUUUGAUCCUGGCUCAGGAUGAACGCUAGCUACAGGCUUAACACAUGCAAGUCGAGGGGCAGCAUCAUCAAAGCUUGCUUUGAUGGAUGGCGACCGGCGCACGGGUGAGUAACACGUAUCCAACCUGCCGACAACACUGGGAUAGCCUUUCGAAAGAAAGAUUAAUACCGGAUGGCAUAGUUUUCCCGCAUGGGAUAAUUAUUAAAGAAUUUCGGUUGUCGAUGGGGAUGCGUUCCAUUAGGCAGUUGGCGGGGUAACGGCCCACCAAACCAACGAUGGAUAGGGGUUCUGAGAGGAAGGUCCCCCACAUUGGAACUGAGACACGGUCCAAACUCCUACGGGAGGCAGCAGUGAGGAAUAUUGGUCAAUGGACGAGAGUCUGAACCAGCCAAGUAGCGUGAAGGAUGACUGCCCUAUGGGUUGUAAACUUCUUUUAUACGGGAAUAAAGUUAGCCACGUGUGGCUUUUUGUAUGUACCGUAUGAAUAAGGAUCGGCUAACUCCGUGCCAGCAGCCGCGGUAAUACGGAGGAUCCGAGCGUUAUCCGGAUUUAUUGGGUUUAAAGGGAGCGUAGGCGGGUUGUUAAGUCAGUUGUGAAAGUUUGCGGCUCAACCGUAAAAUUGCAGUUGAUACUGGCGACCUUGAGUGCAACAGAGGUAGGCGGAAUUCGUGGUGUAGCGGUGAAAUGCUUAGAUAUCACGAAGAACUCCGAUUGCGAAGGCAGCUUACUGGAUUGUAACUGACGCUGAUGCUCGAAAGUGUGGGUAUCAAACAGGAUUAGAUACCCUGGUAGUCCACACAGUAAACGAUGAAUACUCGCUGUUGGCGAUAUACAGUCAGCGGCCAAGCGAAAGCAUUAAGUAUUCCACCUGGGGAGUACGCCGGCAACGGUGAAACUCAAAGGAAUUGACGGGGGCCCGCACAAGCGGAGGAACAUGUGGUUUAAUUCGAUGAUACGCGAGGAACCUUACCCGGGCUUAAAUUGCAACUGACUGAACCGGAAACGGUUCUUUCUUCGGACAGUUGUGAAGGUGCUGCAUGGUUGUCGUCAGCUCGUGCCGUGAGGUGUCGGCUUAAGUGCCAUAACGAGCGCAACCCUUAUCGAUAGUUACUAGCAGGUCAUGCUGAGGACUCUAUUGAGACUGCCGUCGUAAGAUGUGAGGAAGGUGGGGAUGACGUCAAAUCAGCACGGCCCUUACGUCCGGGGCUACACACGUGUUACAGUGGGGGGUACAGAAGGCAGCUACACGGCGACGUGGUGCUAAUCCCGAAAGCCUCUCUCAGUUCGGAUUGGAGUCUGCAACCCGACUCCAUGAAGCUGGAUUCGCUAGUAAUCGCGCAUCAGCCACGGCGCGGUGAAUACGUUCCCGGGCCUUGCACUCACCGCCCGUCA
rnacentral:rRNA from 1 species